GAGGGUAUAGCUCAAUGGUAGAGCACAUGCUUAGCAUGCAUGAGGUCCUGGGUUCAAUACCCACUACCUCCA
rnacentral:tRNA from 1 species